rnacentral:ncRNA from 1 species
GUAUUAUUGCUUGUAGUUAGAACUAUACAUGCUAGACUCCCCCUACCAGUGAGGACGCCCACCCUUAGCCUCCACCUAACCUCGGAGCCGGUAUCAGGCACAGGUCCUACCUAGCCCAUAACACCUAGCCCAUGCCACACCCCCAACGGGUACCAGCAGUAAAAAAUACUAAGCAAUGAGUAAACACUCGACUUGAUUAUAACUACCUGCCCAUAGGGCUGGUAAACCCCGUGCCAGCCACCGCGGUUACACGUGAAGCCCAAAACAAUGAACCAUGGCGUAAAGCGUGACUAGAGCAACAUGUUCUCUUACGGGAUGAAAACUUAACCCUAGUUGUAAAAUACAUUGUGGUCCUACAGGAAACCCUCUUCACUACCCCGAGAAAAACAUCCUUGACCACACGAAAGCUGUGCCCCAAACUAGGAUUAGAUACCCUACUAUGCUCAGCCGUAAACCCCGGUGCAACAAAACAACUGCACCCGCCAGAGGACUACAGGCACAAGCCCAAAACUCAAAGGACUUGACAGUGUCUCACACCGACCUAGAGGAGCCUGUCCUAUAAUCGAUGAUCCACGAUAAACCUUACCGACCUUUGCCACAUCAGCCUAUAUACCUCCGUCGCCAGCCCGCCUGCCUAACAGCACCAAAGCGAGCAAAACAGCUUACCACAAGCACGUCAGGUCAAGGUGUAGCUAAUAGGCCGGACAGAGAUGGGCUACAUUUUCUAAUUUUGAAAACACCCGCUAAAAACAUGAAAACUUUAUAGCAAGGUGGAUUUAGCAGUAAGAGGGGCAAGCAUAGGCCCCCCUGAAGCCCGCUCUGAGACGU